UGGAGCCAGUUUCCCCUCCUCUUUGGCGCCUGGCUGCUUGCGGAGGCCGGCUGACUUGCGGUGACUGGGGGCACCUGUAUUUAUAUUGCCUCCGGGCGUCUAGGACGAACUUACGCCACUGAUUGGAUAGCUUAGUGACCUAGGAAGAAAUUGAGGGAGAUGAACCAUAAAGGAAAAACCAGAUGCUUGACACUCGGCACGUGCAGUGUGCAGGCUCCACAAGCUCAAAAUGACUAUGUUUAUAAAUAUAAUUUUUUGGGGGAGAAAUAUACUUCUAGGGACUGUUUAUGAACUAUGGACAAGAAUUUUCUAUUUUCGGAAGACAUAUACGUGAGCAAAGGUCAAGAAUUUUCUAUUUUCGGAAGAUAUAUACGCUAGCGAAGAUGUGUGCAAAGGUCUUCAAUAAAACCCCUGGUUUGGCGUCAA